UCGUUACUGUGUUUGUCAUUUUUAUUACUCUGUCGCACGGAAGGGACGAUUCUGUCGACCAAUCAACGAACGGCGUGUUUAGCUCCAACUUUUACCCUUUCAGACCACUUGGAACCCCAACGGAGGAGUACUGAAAAAUAGAUGUCAACAGAGUAGUUUUGUCUGACCACGCCACCGCUGGACCCGAUCCCCUCCUCACUCCUCCAGGCUCCUGUGGCUGCUGAUGGUCAACAGAUGUGGUUAAUCAGUAAUCAAUGGAACUGGAGUGAACAAUCCUUUAAAAGAACCACCGUUACUUCUGAGAGGUAUUUAGUUUACAGGGCCUGGCAAUUGGUUUGUAGAGCAAAACCCAGCAACACCUGAAAAAAAACGACAUGCAUGUUCCUUGUUCAAUCUCUUUGAGGUCAACCUGGAUAUUGUGUCUGAUUGGGUGUAUAUUAUCGCUACCAGUAGAUAAAGGUUUUGGCUCAAACAAUCCUUCACCAGCAUGGAGUGACUUCAGCAGUCCUCGCUCUACUUAUCCUGUUGGUCAAGCCGGCUCGGUGUAUACUUAUGGCAGCACACCGCAAGAGUACAUUGGAAGAGCGCCUUCCACUUGGUCCCAGCAGAACAGUGACUCAAAGGCUGAUGAAGGGGUCUACUCAAAUGAUGGCUCCAAUAUGGAUGCUGGCGACUCUGGCUGGGCCAAGAGCGGUGCGAUGGACUCUGGUAGUGAUGCUCAGUACCCUGUUCCUGAAGGCUACCCUGAGGAGCUUGUCGCCCCCAUGGACCAGGAGCUGGAGGAACCUGAGGAAGAGCCCGUGUUGAGCGACGUCUCUGACCUGGAGCCGGUCUACCACUUCAGUUCCGGGUCACGCUACCAGCAAGGCAGACAGGCCUUCUUCCUUGCCAGAUACAACCCCGGAGAGCCUAUGGUCGCCUCUGCUGACGCGUUGGUCUCUAACAGUUAUGGAAUGGGAAAUGGUGAGGGAGGGCCAGGUGAUCCAAGACAGCCUGGGAAGGGUGACUACUGAUCAACUGCAAUGUCUUUCAUUUCUAAUGGCUAUAUGAAUAAAUCUUGGCUUUCGGAAUUAGUUUCCUUUGCUUUAAUAC